rnacentral:tRNA from 1 species
GCCAACGUGGCAGAGCGGCUAUGCGUUCGCCUGCAGAGCGAAUCUACUUCGGUUCAAAUCCGGACGUUGGCU